CACCAUCACCCCUACCUACUCUCCUUAAUUAUUGUCCAAAAUUUUUGUCCAUCUUCCUCGUCUUUCAAAGUCCAUAUCAUAACCUUUUUCAAAGCAAAAAAAAACAAGAAUAAAGAAAACUGCCACCGAAAAAAAAAAACGUAAAAUCUAACAAACGUGGAUAUCAAUCGGUGGCUCGAAAUCGGUCGAAUGGAAGCAGAACAUGACAAUAAGGACGACAAAUUUUUGUACUUUUACCAUUGGGGAUUUUACGAAACUAUUCCAAGUGAAGCAGUGAAGAACGACAAUUUAUGCACCUUUACCACUCCAACGGCAUCUCAAUUCGAUCUUAGUUUACCAGCUCAAGUUACAGGAAGUUGGUGUAGGUGGAAGCAUUGGCAGAGAUGAAGUACCUUAGGUGGUGAAGUGUUUUCUGGAAUUUGAAGAAUAGGUGGUGGUGAAGCGGUCGGCAGGUGGAAACAUUACCGGUGAUUGGAUCGGAGUUUUUAAGUUCGCUUUCGAAUUAAUCGGUUUGGAUAUUUUGAAUUUUCGAUUUUGAGCCUAUAAGUUGAGAAGUUUCUUCAUAUUUUCGA